rnacentral:rRNA from 1 species
GGCUCAGAUUGAACGCUGGCGGCAUGCCUUACACAUGCAAGUCGAACGGCAGCACGGGGGCAACCCUGGUGGCGAGUGGCGAACGGGUGAGUAAAGCAUCGGAACGUGCCCUGGAGUGGGGGAUAACGUAGCGAAAGUUACGCUAAUACCGCAUAUUCUGUGAGCAGGAAAGCAGGGGAUCGCAAGACCUUGCGCUCUGGGAGCGGCCGAUGUCGGAUUAGCUAGUUGGUGGGGUAAAGGCCUACCAAGGCGACGAUCCGUAGCGGGUCUGAGAGGAUGAUCCGCCACACUGGGACUGAGACACGGCCCAGACUCCUACGGGAGGCAGCAGUGGGGAAUUUUGGACAAUGGGCGAAAGCCUGAUCCAGCCAUGCCGCGUGAGUGAAGAAGGCCUUCGGGUUGUAAAGCUCUUUCGGUGGGGAAGAAAUUGCAUGGGCUAAUACCCUGUGUAGAUGACGGUACCUGGAGAAGAAGCACCGGCUAACUACGUG